CCUUUCACUACUGCGCUGUGAUUCUGCUCAGAACGCGUCAGAGGCGGUUGAGAAUUCACAGUUGACCGGUGUUUUCGUUAAGAGCCUGAAAGAGAUGAUAAAAUCUGGACAAACGUUUCUUUGAGAGCAGCUGAGACUGGGAAAAAAAAUCCCCGUUAGCGUCAGACUCGUCAGAGCGUUGUUCCACGUUAAAGUUUGAUGCAGCUCUGUUUUUCUGAAUGGACAGUCUUCAUCUCCAUUGCAAGUACAGCAACCCAGGCAGAUGUUCUUUGAUUUGCACUUUUGGCCUGGAGUGCCCAGAGACUUCAAGACCCACUUCUGAAUUUGGAUGGCGAGCCCCAGCCCAGAGAGCCGAGUAUUUCAAGGAUAGUGACCCGACUGGUCACUAUCCUUGAAAUACUGAGAGAAUCGACUGACACAUUGAAACGACUGUUAUUU